rfam:Daedalea quercina L-15889 unplaced genomic scaffold DAEQTscaffold_54, whole genome shotgun sequence.
GGUGGUGUGGCCGAGUUGGUCUAAGGCGUGGGAUUUAAGUCACUCUUGAUUCCCCAUGGGCGUGAGUCCGCGCGAGUUCGAACCUCGCCGCCACCA